CAAAAGCUAAGUCCUGACUUUACUAUCAACUUUGGCCAAACUUAUACAUGCAAGUAUCCGCAUCCCAGUGAGAAUGCCCUAAAACUCCUAUUAUCCAGAGGUCAUAAGGAGCAGGUAUCAGGCACAACCUAUAGUAUUAGCCCACGACACCUUGCUCAGCCACACCCCCAAGGGAUUUCAGCAGUGAUUAAUAUUAAGCCAUAAGUGCAAACUUGACUUAGUUAAGGCCAAGCAGAGCCGGUAAAACUCGUGCCAGCCACCGCGGUUAUACGAGAGGCUCAAGCUGAUAGACCACCGGCGUAAAGAGUGGUUAAAAAACAGUAAACAACUAAAGCUAAACACCUUCAAGGCCGUUCUACGCAACCGAAGACAGGAGAAACCCCCACGAAAGUGGCUUUAAAACCAUUGAACUCCACGAAGAUUAGGACACAAACUGGGAUUAGAUACCCCACUAUGCCUGACCCUAAACAAAAACGACACCCUUACACCUCCGUCACUCGCCAGGGAACUACAAGCACUAGCUCGAAACCCAAAGGACUUGGCGGUGCUUUAGAACCACCUAGAGGAGCCUGUUCUAUAACCGAUACUCCCCGUUUAACCUCACCCUUUCUUGCACACUACCGCCUAUAUACCGCCGUCGUCAGCUUACCCUAUAAGGGCCCCAUAGUAAGCAAAACUGGUAAAACCUAACACGUCAGGUCGAGGUGUAGCACACGAAAGGGAAAGAAAUGGGCUACACUCCCUGACUCAGGGUAUACAAACAAUAAUUUGAAAUAAUUAUCUAAAGGUGGAUUUAGCAGUAAGGGGAGAAUACAGAGAGUUCCCCUGAAACCGGCCCUGAAGCGCGCACACACCGCCCGUCACUCUCCCCAAAUCUAUACUGAACCCCAAACAUAUAAAAAAUAACUUCCACAAAGGGGAGACAAGUCGUAACAUGGUAAGUGCACCGGAAGGUGUACUUGGAAAAA
rnacentral:ncRNA from 1 species